AACUUGAGGGAUCAGUCAGGUCUACAGAGAGAGAGGAGAAAAGAAAAGAUAUAAGAGAGUUUGUGCAAGUGAGAGGAACAAAAGGACGAGGACAAGAUAAAGUACAUGAGUAAGGAAGAUUUUGAAUUUGUCCUCAAUAGAAUCCAAAAGCUUCAUUGCUUUCUAUAACAAACUCAUCAAUGAAAAAAAUGAAAGAGUCUAUGAGAGCAAAGAAUUAAGCACAAGAGAUGGACAGAACAAUAUCCAGUUAGUAGUACAUGUACAUAUACAUGUAUAUUUUAUAAUGAUGUAAUUUGUACACAAUUGAACUUACCAAAACA